CAGAUCACAUGGGUUUCAAGAUCCCAUUGCAAGGAUUUCAUUUUGAUUAUGUUUUCCACUGGACCGUUCUUAAGUAUCAGCAGUCGCAAAUGGCCGUUCCACCGCGCACUAUGGUUGGUACAGUCCAUGGAUGAAAAUUAUUUUAUGAAAAUGAUUUGUUAUUUACAGGCUGCAGUAGCAUGUCAAAUCUCCCGGAUAGUUCCUAUGGCAAAUAAUAGGCUGUCAGGCAUUUAAUCAAUGGGGUUAUUACCCUCUAAUUUUGAUCCGUUCAUGGGCUUUUGCAUCUAUCAAUCGACUUUAUGACUUUACCAAUCCCGGACACAAGAUAUUUUUGCUCUCCUUUCUUGAUGUUGGGUUUGCUUGACUUAUGGGCCUUUUCAAUUCCAUUGCUUAUCAACUCUUCUGUGCGCCGAGCCAUUACAGAAAGAAUUGACACAUUCCUACCCGAGAGAAUUAAAAGAAGCCUUCCUAGAUUGUCAAGAUUGAGAAGUCAACAGGAAAAUGAACUGACUUCUCUCAUUGUCAACUUGGGAGUUUGAGGCAUACUUUUGGGUUCUAAAAUUUGAAGGUUAUACUACAUUGAUGUAGGAACAAUUGUUCAGCAUAGACAAUCUGGUUCAGGUACACUUGGUUCCACUGGCCCCAUUGCUGAUUGUCUUUGACACUGUUGAGGUUCAGGUACACUUGGAGUUGGUUCCACUGGGUUUAUUGCUGAUUGUGUUUAGCACUGUUGGUGUGCUGAAGUUUAAUUGUUGCAUGGUAUAUAGGAUGUUAGGAGAUAG